rnacentral:rRNA from 1 species
GCAUAUCAAUAAGCGGAGGAAAAGAAACCAACAGGGAUUGCCUUAGUAACGGCGAGUGAAGCGGCAACAGCUCAAAUUUGAAAUCUGGCCCUUGGGUCCGAAUUGUAAUUUGUAGAGGAUGAUUUUGGUGCGGUAUCUUCCGAGUUCCUUGGAACAGGACGCCUUAGAGGGUGAGAGCCCCGUACGGUUGAAUGCCUAGCCUCUGUAAAUCUCCUUCGACGAGUCGAGUAGUUUGGGAAUGCUGCUCUAAAUGGGAGGUAAAUUUCUUCUAAAGCUAAAUAUUGGCCAGAGACCGAUAGCGCACAAGUAGAGUGAUCGAAAGAUGAAAAGCACUUUGAAAAGAGGGUUAAAUAGCACGUGAAAUUGUUGAAAGGGAAGGAUUUGUGACCAGACUUUUUCUGGGCGGAUCAUCCGGGGUUCUCUCCGGUGCACUUUGCCCAGUAAAGGCCAGCAUCGGUUUUCGGCGGGGGAUAAAAGCAGUAGGAAUGUGGCUCUCUACGGGGAGUGUUAUAGCCUAUUGUAUAAUACCCUGCUGGGGACCGAGGUACGCGCUUCUGCAAGGAUGCUGGCGUAAUGGUUAUCAAUCACCCGUCUUGAAACACGGACCAAGGAGUCGAACAUUUGUGCGAGUGUUUGGGUGUUAAACCCUCACGCGUAAUGAAAGUGAACGGAGGUGAGAGCCCUUACGGGUGCAUCAUCGACCGAUCCUGAAGUUUUCGGAUGGAUUUGAGUAAGAGCAUAACUGUUCGGACCCGAAAGAUGGUGAACUAUGCGUGGAUAGGGUGAAGCCAGAGGAAACUCUGGUGGAGGCUCGCAGCGGUUCUGACGUGCAAAUCGAUCGUCAAAUCUGCGCAUGGGGGCGAAAGACUAAUCGAACCAUCUAGUAGCUGGUUACCGCCGA